UGGGGAGUGGUGUAAUCGGCAGCACAGGCGCCUUUGGAGCGCCUAGUCCCGGUUCAAGUCCGGGCUCCCCAG
rnacentral:tRNA from 1 species